rnacentral:rRNA from 1 species
ACACGAGAACGGGCCAGAAAUGGUCAACUCUUUGGACACUCGUGAACAGGUGGUGCAUGGUUGUCGUCAGCUCGUGUCGUGAGAUGUUGGGUUAAGUCCCGCAACGAGCGCAACCCUCGUCGCAUGUUGCCAGCACGUUAUGGUGGGGACUCAUGUGAGACUGCCGGGGUCAACUCGGAGGAAGGUGGGGAUGACGUCAAAUCAUCAUGCCCCUUAUGUCUUGGGCUUCACGCAUGCUACAAUGGCCGGUACAAAGGGCUGCGAUGUCGUAAGGCGGAGCGAAUCCCAAAAGCCGGUCUCAGUUCGGAUUGAGGUCUGCAACUCGACCUCAUGAAGUCGGAGUCGCUAGUAAUCGCAGAUCAGCAACGCUGCGGUGAAUACGUUCCCGGGCCUUGUACACACCGCCCGUCAAGUCAUGAAAGUCGGUAACACCCGAAGCCGGUGGCCUAACCCUUGUGGAGGGAGCCGUCGAAGGUGGGAUCGGUGAUUAGGACUAAGUCGUAACAAGGUAGCCGUACCGGAAGGUGCGGCUGGAUCACCUCCUUUAUG